CCUACGGGAGGCAGCAGUGGGGGAUAUUGCACAAUGGGGGAAACCCUGAUGCAGCGACGCCGCGUGUGGGAAGACGGUCCUCUGGAUUGUAAACCACUGUCUCCAGGGACGAAGAUGACGGUACCUGGGGAGGAAGCUCCGGCUAACUACGGGCCAGCAGCCGCGGUAAUACGUAGGGAGCGAGCGUUGUCCGUAUUUACUGGGUGUAAGGGGAGCGUAGGCGGGGAUGCAAGUUGGGUGGCAAAACUACCGGAUCAACUGGUAGGCGCACUCAAAACUGCAGCUCUUGAGUGAAGUAGAGGCAGGCGGAAUUCCUAGUGUAGCGGUGAAAUGCGUAGAUAUUAGGAGGAACACCAGUGGCGAAGGCGGCCUGCUGGGCUUUUACUGACGCUGAGGCUCGAAAGUGUGGGGAGCAAACAGGAUUAGAUACCCUAGUAGUC
rnacentral:rRNA from 1 species